UCCUCCCUCCCUCCUUCU
rnacentral:misc_RNA from 1 species